GGGGCUUCGUAGGACAGAGCCCUCUUAAAGGAGCCGCUACCUCCUUUUCUGGGGGAGCGUUCUGGCUCUGGCGCCAGGCACCUAAGGUGCUUCCCUUGGGACAAGCCUUUUGUUUCACGACUCGGAGAAAAAAGGUUCCUGGGAAUGGACUCCCUGGGGAGAUGGUUCCUUGGGGCCUCUUCCCCACCUUGUGGGCCUCCUGAGCUGCUCUCUCCUCCUGAGGCAGUAACCACUGUGCUGGUGGAACGCUCACCGGGCCCCCGACGCUUUGCAGACACGCUGUCUGCAGCACAGGAGGGAGCACCCUGGCCUUGUCACUGAGAAGCUGAGCAGCCUAGAAGGAGAGCACCCAGGGCGGCUGCAGAUGGCAGUGUCUCUGGGGACAGUAGCUGCGACUGAGUCCACAGGCUGACACUGAGCUGCUUAGGCUGAGGUGGUGUGCUCAGCACGGAGCCCCCGGAACAGGCGUCUGCAGGGUGUGAGCCAAGGCCACCGUGAUGCCACACUUCCUGGACUGGUUCGUUCCUGUUUACCUGGUCAUCUCGGUCCUCAUCUUGGUGGGCUUUGGCGCCUGCAUCUACUACUUCGAGCCCGGCCUGCAGGAGGCACACAAGUGGCGCAUGCAGCGCCCCCUGGUGGACCGUGACCUCCGCAAGACACUGAUGGUCCGUGACAACCUGGCCUUCGGAGGCCCAGAGGUCUGAGCUGGGGAGAGGUGGGGGGCACCGGUGCCCUCUCCUGCUUGCCCAGCCUGGAGACCCUGGGGCAGAGGGAGGUUGACCCCUAGUCCUGCAGGCUAUCGUGCAGCCUGGGCCCUCCCUGCAGAGGCUCCUGGGAGCUCCAGGUAGACCCUGACUGUGGACAGAUGGGCACCUGGGGGCCUUGAGGUGUCACCCAGGGCUUGCUCUGCACGUCAGGCCAGCUCAUCCUGCUCCUGCCCUCCUCAGCUGUGGGGACACCCACUGGCCCCCAGCAUGUUGUGCUGCCCAGCACUCCCACCCCUCCACCUGGGGUCAGGCACGGCUGCCCCUGCUUGCCUGUGGGUAUCCCCAGUGACUCCCCGGUGACGCUUAGCUCCCCACUCCACCUGCAGUGGCGCCACCCUGCAGCUUCACCUGGCAGGCUUCAAAGCUGACCCAAGGAACGGGCCUCACCAGGGAUGUCAGCCUGGGCUCUGGCUUGGUGAAUGUGUGUGAUGGGGUGGGCAGAGGAGCAGGAACGCAGGCGCAGGAUGGGUGUGUGUGUGUGAGAGAGAGAGAGAGAGAGCACAGCUGGGGCACCCGGAUGCAUGUACGGAUAUGUGAGAGGGACAGUGGGGACCCAGGCAGGCUGGGAGGCAGUGGGAUGCGGUGAGCUGUGUGGGCAGCACGGGGGCACCAGCAGCAGUCCCCACCCUCCUGUCUCUGCCAGACCUUCCUGUCCCUCCCCUUCCCCAGGGCUGAGGCAGCUGGCACAUGCCCCUGGCCUCCCCUCCUGGUUCUGUAUGGCGCCACCAGGGCUGAGCCCAGUGCCCUGAGCCAGGUGCCCCGGGCCCCCACCCCCACCCCGGAGCCCUCCUGGGUGGGGCACUGCUGCCUCAUUUCUGGCACAUCAGCAACCGCCCCACUCUCAUCCCAGGGCUUCCAUCUUAGCUUAUGGCAAUAAUAAAGGCUUUGU